rfam:Sus scrofa isolate TJ Tabasco breed Duroc chromosome 4, whole genome shotgun sequence.
UCCCUCGUGGUCUAGUUGUUAGGACUCAGCACUUUGACCACUGCAGCCUGGGUUCAAUCCCUAGUCUGGGAA